CUAUGGACUGUAGCCUGCCAGGCUCCUCUGUCCAUGGGAUUCUCCAGGCAAGAAUACUGAGUCUUACCCUCAAGGUUGCAAGACAGCUGCAUGUGUUCCAGGCACCACAUCUCCACUGAAGGCAAGAAGGGGAAGAGGUGGUGGUCUUCUACGUCUCUUCUAACAGGAAAAAAAAGGCUUCCCAGAAACACGUGCCAGCGGACUCUGCCUUGCAUUCUGUUGACCAGCUCUGCCACAUGGCCACCCCCUGCAAGACGCUCUCAUUCCUCACUUUCUGCUCUAGGAGGGGUCAAGACAGAAGCCUCUCCCCUGGGUGUACCCAGCCGUGCUUCCUGCUCCAGCCUGCGUCCAUCAGCUGCAGCUCCAGGCUCCGAUAGCAGCUUCAGCAGGAUGGCGAGUGACCUCCUGCACAAACCGCCUUCAUCUCCAUCACCUGCAUCUCCCAAGAGGCAGCUAGUUUGCCAAAGGUACCAGGAAGCUCACCUCCAGAAGGCUUGCCCAGUACUAAUUCUGAUGCACAGGCAGCUCCCAACACUUCAGGUUUCUGUAAAGCCCCAAAGCCAGCACAAGAUGAUUUAAUUACCACGUGAAUGAGUCAAAAAACAGAUGCGAGGUUUCCAGAAAUGCCUGCAAGUGCUUAGUAAGUAGCCACAAUUGAUAGAGAAAUUGCAAAGACACGCUGGAAACAAAGGCUGGCUCAAGGCACAGUCACAGCCCGAAAAGUGCUGUCAACAGAGGGGUACUCCUACCCACUAACCCCCACCCCCACCCCAGUCCUGUUAAAUGCAGAGAGCUGGGAAAUCGUCUGUAAUAGUCUGGCCCACGUGAACUGCAAUUAGCAGCAACAAGCACCACCCACAGACUCCCCGGGAACGUGCUCAUGGUUAAUCGAUUCGAUUGAUCACUGUUUAUUAAGCAAAAACCUGCUUUCUAAACUGUUCUUCCCUAAAUGGUGUUUUUGUUUUUGUUUUUUUCCCCAGUCUGCUAGAAAAUAGGAGACUAAUUAGAGCUUUUAAUUUAAAUCCAAGCAGGGAGAUGCGAGCAUGUACUACGGGAAAAGCAUUAGGAGGCGGGGAGGAGAUGAGGAGCCCCGCCCCCAGCUCCCCAGAGCAGCAACGGUAGCGCUAACACGCUCCCAUAAAGACCUCCCGAAUCCGCAUUUCACUCUUCAGAUCAAGAAGCCACUGGGACCAGGUCAGACGAGAGCAUCAGGAAGGCAGCCCACUGAUAAUAUAGAUUAUGGGAGUGUUUGGGUCGCACCAGUGCUGUGAAAUUGAUCGGCUCCAUUCAGCACCUUGCGAAUCAACAGAGGAAAUCAAUGGUUGGCAGACGGUGUGGAGGAUUGAAUUCUGAGGCACGACCACUAUAUAACAUAAUCACCCGGAUCCUUCUCGUUGCCCUGACCAGGGCUUCACUGGAAAUGCCACACAAAACAGACUCAGCUGUUUUCAUUUCACUCCCUGAUACACGUCCAUACCAGCCAGGCUCUCUGCCUAUGAUGAGCAAUGCAGGACUGGAAGAAAAACCUGGCUUCCUUCUGUGUCGUAACUCCCAUCACAAGCCUUUGUCUAACACAGUCAGGCACAGGGCUUAGAAAGAUGGGUUCCUUGGUCGCUGGUGGAGAACAUGCACCUCCCUUCUG
ensembl:lncRNA